rnacentral:rRNA from 1 species
CAGAGGGUGCAAGCGUUAAUCGGAUUUACUGGGCGUAAAGCGUGAGUAGGUGGCUCGCCAAGUCGAUUGUGAAAGCCCUGGGCUCAACCUGGGAAUUGCAGUCGAUACUGGUGAACUAGAGUUCGGUAGAGGGUGACGGAAUUCCCGGUGUAGCGGUGAAAUGCGUAGAUAUCGGGAGGAACAUCGAUGGCGAAGGCAAUCACCUGGGCCUGAACUGACACUGAGACACGAAAGCGUGGGUAGCAAACAGGAUUAGAUACCCUGGUAGUCCACGCCGUAAACGAUGGGAACCUGACGUCGGUUUGCUCUGCGAAUCGGUGUCGUAGCUAACGCGCUAAGUUCCCCGCCUGGGGAGUACGGCCGCAAGGUUG